UGCGUAGGCGGUUCUAUAAGUCAGUGGUGAAAUACGGCAGCUCAACUGUCGAGGUGCCAUUGAUACUGUAGAACUUGAGUACAGACGAGGUAGGCGGAAUUGACGGUGUAGCGGUGAAAUGCUUAGAUAUCGUCAAGAACACCGAUAGCGAAGGCAGCUUACUAGACUGUAACUGACGCUGAGGCACGAAAGUGUGGGGAUCAAACAGGAUUAGAUACCCUGGUAGUCCACACUGUAAACGAUGAUUACUCGAUGUUGGCGAUACACAGCCAGCGUCUUAGCGAAAGCGAUAAGUAAUCCACCUGGGGAGUACGCCGGCAACGGUGAA
rnacentral:rRNA from 1 species